CUGGAAGAGAGUGGGUGAGUUGUGUUUAGUCUCUUUGCUAAAGAAAUCAGGCAAAGUUAUAAAGGUGUUUGGUGGCUAAUGCUAUGGCUGGGACCCUAUAUGUACUGUUGAUGAAGUUAGGUGCUGUUCUGAGCAUUAUUUGUGGCUAUAGAGUGGCUUUUUGGUUGAGGUUUGUUUAUGGCUCCUGGGACCGUUGUUUAUUGCUAUCGUGCGGUCAUUACUAAAGUUGGUAUAACUAGAGAAGCAAGCAGUCGGCAACAUUCAUCUUUUGAGGGGGUGUCUAACUCUGUGUUACGGUGUGUUUGACCCCAACUUAAUUUUACGCCAGAAUAUCCCUUUAACUUGUGUGGGUUUGUUCGUCUGCAAUAGAGAUGCCGACCUUCAGAGUAAGGAGUUUAUUCUUGGUGGGCUUUUUGUGUGGCAUCAGGUCAUCUGUAUCUCUUGAUUGUGACAAAAUGAAUAAAAAUGUUGAUCUUUAUUUGAUUUAUGAACCUGAGUGAUGAGCUAAGAAGCUGACACUGAUGUUCUGUUAUCUCAGGUGUUUACUCUCCCACAUGAGCACUGACUGAUAAAGGAGGCAGCAUGAGUCACCAGACAUUGCUCAUCAUCACUCUGCAGAGGGUCUCACUGACUCAGCAGGUGACAGGAGCUCUCAUGCUUCGCUCAUUACAGUCAUCAGGAGAAGUCAGAGAGGGUUGAGUCUCGGGGUAUUUCCGCACAAGACAGUGUGAAUGUGAUUUAUUUAAAAUCCAAAAUUAGAUCCAGAAUACAGUCUGUAGUGAAAAAAGGUUUCAUUCAUAUUGGACUGUUUGACCUAUUAUAUUUUGAUGAAGGUCAUUUCAAAACAGAGUUCACACCAAUGUGAUCAUAAGAAAUAAACAUAAAGUAGAAAAUGUGUUAAAACCAAAAGCUAAACUCUAACUGUAGCUUGUUUGACUUUGUGUUUAAGUGUUUCAGUGUGUUGAAGUUAUUCAAAUCUAGUCUUAAAAAACACUUUAUUUCCCCAGAAUAUUUCCAUCACUCAUGUUCCCCCUCAGUCCUUUCCACAGCCUCAAAACCACACUACCUCCUCUGUCUCCCCAGACUUGAAGUCACCAUAACUGGCUGCUGUGUGAGAAAAUGGAACAAAUUGUCUGGUGAAGUUUAACCGUGGAAACUUAAUUAGGCGAUGUCUGGGAGAUUUCACAAAUAAAGGGAAAGAAUCAACAUCCACAUCGAGCAUUAAGUGAUGGCCUCUUUCUGUUAAUGUCACAUUAUAUUUAGAAUUGUACAAGGGUGAACAGAUAUCAUAUGGUUAUAAUAUUCAUCACCCAGCAGACUCAUCCUCUCCAGGGAGGGAGAGAAAACCUACCAUCGUAAAGACAAUCGAUCUAAGGUAGUGGUUCUCAACUGGUCUCACUCUGGACCCACAUUUUCCCAUGGUCCUUAAGUCGCGUCCCACUUUUAUAUGAUUCAAACCAACCAAAUUUAUUUUUUAUAAAUAAAAAAAACCUUUAAAGACUCUAAUCUUUAACAUAAAUCCACUUCUUUUAUUGAUUGAAAUGCAUUCAGAGCACAUGAAGGGGACAACAUGAGGAAGACAACUACUGAAGUUGCAUAUACAGAAAAUUUCAAAUAUCUAACAAACAUCGCAUUAAAUAUUUACUUUUUUGACCAGCUGUUCAUGACCCAUCCAGAACGUGUCUGUGACCCACUUUUGGGUCGGGACCCACCAGUUGAGAACCACUGAUCUGAGGCGUUGCAUUUUGCAGUUCUUAACUCCAUAAAACACUAUUUUGAAAAAAGACAAGCUUUUCAGAUGAACAAUACUAUCCGCCCUUUGCUAUGAAAAGGCCCCAAUACUUUCUGCACUAGCACAAAGAUGCCACUGGGUGUCAGUGUGGAGUGUGGGAAUAAACUGUAAAAGUACUGUGUCAUAAUAGAAAUUGCAAUACAUCUAAGUGGUACACCUACAGUUCAGUUCAGCCUCUGUUUUGGGAGUUACAAAGCUGUCCACACAAAUGAGUCAUAUGAAGUUUAACAGGUAGGUUAUUGCUUUGGAAGUCCAAAGGUCGCUUUCAUAAAGCAGCUCAGCAGAGGCUGGGUAGUCGGAGCUUGAAUUUUUGUUGCGUAAGGCUCAAAUUUUGAUAAAUAGAAGGAGUCUAGAAAGUGGAAAACUCCACCUAACACAGUACAAACAUACUGUAGGAAAUGUGCACUAUUAAAUCAAGCAUAAAUAUUGGAAUAAACUAGCCACAGCAUCAAUGAUAGUCAUAACAGCCUCAUCCAGAACUAAUGGUUGCCCCAGAUUUACUUUUCGUUUGAGUUUUUAUUCUAUUUUAAGCCCUUUCCUUUGUCUCCCACUGCUUUCCUUCUACAUUCCCUUCAUCUCCACUCAAACCCCUGACUCCUUUUUCAUCUCCAUCCCGGCCGGGAGAGUCUGAGAUGUGUCAGAGGGCUGCAGAGGAUCUGACUCACCGCCUUCAGAGUCUAAACACUAUUAGUUUCCAGGUGGAGCACUGAGACACUAUUGUGUUUCUGAUUAGCCCACCAAGACACUCGGGACAGUUGGGGGGGAGGGAGGAGUGUGAGGCACUCUCCCAGCAGAAAAUGUGGUUUAGAAGUCUUUGUGGGUUUGCUUGUGUUUGCAUCAAGUGAUUUUGUAGGAGGGACGUUUUGUGCAUUUUCCAAGAUUUCUGUGUGUGUGUGCUAAUGAUCAAACUAUGAUUAACGUCUGAGUGAGACCACCAGGACUGCUGCUCUAGGUGGGAGGCCUGUGUUUUCACAGAGGGUCCGCCGGUGAGUCAGUGAAACCUUUAGAUUGAUAUCAUUGCCCACAGUUGCUUCACAGGGAACCACCCAACAAUGACACAAACACCUCAAAUACAACUGUCUCAGUCACUGCUGUGGGUAACAUGACGUUAAUACCAUUUUCAUUUUGUAUCACCAGCAGAUGAUAUGCAUUAAUCUUGUCGCUGAUGGUCUUGGUUGAUUUUAUGUGUCAUUAAAAGGCAUCAACAUAAAUUUCGGUCCAUUUAAUAAACAUAAAAAAAAUUCUCUUUUGAACAACGCACCAAAUAUCUCAUUGAUCUGUUUGCAAAGUUAAAGUAAAAUCAACAAUCAACAUCAAUUGCCCAUCAUGUAUUACAGCAAAUACAGGGUCUCUGUCUAAUAACACUUUUGUGUCUUUAGGAAAUGUUUUAAGGUCAUGUAAAAAAAUUCUGGUUUUGUGAUCCACUAUGGUUUUGAUUAAGCUUUGUCUUUGUUCUUAAUGUUUUAUUCUUCAUCUGUUGUGUGUUUUUUGUGUUACUGAAACACAGUCUUAACAGGGCUAACUGAGAAGUAUCAAUUUAUUUAUUUCAAACGAUUUUUCUUCUAACAGCAAACUAAUUGUUUAUUCCGUUCAGAGAAAAAAAAUUAUCAUGAAAAUUAUAUGCAGACUACAGUGUGUCAAGUGACCAAAAGUGCAGAGAAAUGUUUAAAUUAUCAUUUUCUGAAGCUUCUGAGAAAGGUAUUUUUAAAAAAUGUGUAAAAACCAAAAGUAAGUCCAGAGCAAAUCUGCAUCUAAAUGAUCAGAUUGUUAUUCACGAAUCAUUCCAGGGGGUUGAUUGUGAUGAAACGAUCCUACACACAGAUCAAUUAAACAAUAACUGCUGAGUGAUUCAUUUUGUGAUUCUGUUUUUCUGAUAUACAUGAAAGGGUUGGAAAAAAUAACACUAAAGUUUCAUUAGAACGCAAACUUCACAAGACAAGCCUGCAGUUUCUGUUCAUGUGAAUAUCAGUCAACAAAGCAAACCAGACACAACAAGAGGAGGUGUCUGGCUUUCAUUUGUUUCCAGACUGAACAAAGAUGCCAAAGUUUCCUGAUCACUGAAGAGUGUCUGUCACUGCAGAAAAACCACACACAAAGUGGGCACAGACAGUCCGUCUGUGUGGAAAUAAAGUUGAACCAAAGAAUCAAUGAUCAUCUGUUUUACCGGACACAGUUACAUCCACAGCAAAAAAAUUAACUUUGACCGCUUUUUAUUUCUUAGUGGUAAAAGGUAGUUAAAUGUUGGUAUUAUCUUUUUUAAAUUCUCAUGUCAGAUUUAACAUUUUUGUUUGGCAGGGGCAAAACAACAAUUUUGUUCUGCACCUAAUUUUCUCAACAAUUAAUUGGUUUAAAAAAAAAAACAUACAUAAAAUGUUACAUAUACCUUAAAAAGAUUGGAUAAAUUGAGCGGUAUUCUUUGAGAAAAAGCUAUGGAAGGAAAAAGCUGGUAGUUUCAUGAUGUGUUUUCCUCUCUUAAUGCAUACAUUUAAAUCCUUGUUAGUGUCUCAGUGAUUUUCGUUUUGGUUUGCUUGUUUGUUAUUUGAUAACUGGGAAGUAAAUCAAUGUGAGUCUACAACAGCACCUUGAUGAAAGGUUAGUGUUUGAUACUGUCAAAUUUUUAGCUGUACAUUUCUUAAAGUAAUGAACAACAUGUCAAGAUAGGGGGCCUGAACAGCUACUUGUCAGUCCCACUGAACCCAGGAUAUUUUUACUGCAACUUAGUCAAUAUUCAGUGUGAGGACAAACACAUCCACACCCUCAAUCAGACUAAUGCGCAGCCUCAGCUGUCUCUUCCCUUCACUGAGCUGAUCUUCUGUGUGAAACCAAAGCGGACUGCUUCUCACUGCUCUGCUCCAUUGUUGUUUUAACUAUGUCAGUCAAUACAGCCAGCUGAUACCCACCGACCAAUCAAUACCACCUAUUACCCCUAAGGGGGCAGAGCUUCAAAAGGGUUACUCUGGAAAUUAAAGGUGUUUAAAGAAUCCACUGAUAGAGUGCUGGGGGGUAAAAACACACUGAUCUACAAUCCCAGCACAAGGAUUGGGGAUGAUGGGGAUGACUUGGAAAACACUGCCCCCUCCUGGCAACAGCUAGAAAUACCAGGAAAAUACAUCUUAAAACAAAUGCACCAGAUUUUACAUUAAUUCAUACAUUCGUUCAUACAUACAGUACACCUCCCUAAUAUAUACAGUCUCACUCAUUAGUCAAUGUUAAACACUCAUGCUGGUUGUAAUGCAUUCACACAGACACAGGCAUAUUUACAUGUAACCACAGUUUGUUUCACCUUCUCAUGUUUUUUUUUUCUCUUUUAUACUAAAAGCCAGAAAAAGUAGCAAGGUAAAUUCAGCCAGAAGCCUCAUACCUACUUCUACAACCCAAACUCUGCAAUCGCUCUCUUUUUGGUUCAGUUUAACAAACUGAUUCGUAAACAAAUGUGAGAUCAGGAAGUCCUAAGCUUUGAAUGUGUGUGAGACAAUAAAGAUAAAAUGAGAAAAGUAAAAUCUUUCAAGUUUGAAAAAAACAAAUCUGUAUGAAAUCAGCUGAAGAUAUACAGUAAAAGGAAAUAAUAAUAAUGGUACUAUAUAAAGUUUUAGAAAGUGGGUAUGGGUUUGCACUAUCAGACUUUGAAAGAUGGUUUAUACUACGUCAACUUUUAAAUUCACCAGCAGGUGGCAGCAAAGUACUCCUGUGUCCAAGGCCUAAAGGUUGGCAGUAGAAAACAACUGAGAAAAUCAGGCUGUAUGGGAGACUUUCAUGGCUUAUUGGUUGUCACUCAUUUUGUCUUCUUAUUUUGUCAGGUUUGACAUCGAUAAGAGAAAAUUUUACUCCACAAUCCGAAUACAAUGUGACCAGCAAUGUUGCAUUUAUUUGUUAAGUAGUAGCGUUGCUCUUGCGUUUACAGCACAUGUGAAUUUAUGCGCUCAGUGUAACAACAUUGCUCUUCCACAAAGUGGCGCCACAGGCCUGUGUAUUCGCUCCACAUGAUUUACGGUUCCUUUGUUCCUUAACAAUAAAUUGAUAAUAAAUAAAUACAUACAGAAACAAAAUGGGUCUUUUUUAUAUGUCUUUGAGCCUGUCAGCACCUGAGCCUGUUCUAAUUUUCUAUAACUAACUCUAAAUAUUUAGUUCAGAGCUUUAAUUUUUGUUAAUUGUAGGGUGCUGUUGCUUUGACCCUUGACCUCUCCCUCCAGCUCUCAGGAAAUGGCAGUAAAAUUGGCUAAGUGAAAUAAAAAGCAAUUAUGUAAAUGCAUGUGAGACUGAUUUUUUUUCUUUUUUCAACUGAUGCAUGAAAACUUUUGUCUCCAUCUGAAAAGACUUUCAGACUCCACCACCACUUCCUCUGCUCUGAAGGCACUGGGCGCAGGUCUUUACUGGAAACCAGUAGCUCUGACUAAAAACCCCACAGCAGUGCUGUAUGGUGCACUUGUGGUAGCCGUUAGGUGCCGGUAAGCUUCACAGUGUGAGGCAGUUAACCCUUCAGUGGCACCUAAACAAGAGCUGUCACCACCCAACUGCACCCUGAUGCAACAUCUUACAGAAAGCCAUCAGUUUAAACUGUAAACCAGCGUGACCCCCAAACCAAACCGUCUGUAUUUGAUGUUGCAGGUACAACCUUUAUCCAGGAAGACAUUCAGAGUACAAGUUCUGAUAACAGACAUGAGAGUUGUUGCCUAUUAAGGUAUGAAAAUGAGAGUCACUGUUACUCUCAGUGAACCGAACGUGAAAACAGAUCAGGCCCUGACUGAUACCCAAGUGAAGGUGUCGACAGAGAGGCAGAGGGAGACGGUCUCACUGUCAAGAGCAAAACCUCAAGAGCCACAGAACAAAACUGAAUACAUCUGCCAAUGGCUCAAGGUUUAAGAUUUUGUACAAUCACUAUAAGUUCAAUUGCAACUCAAAUUAGAAUCAGUCACUUAGAGGAAGAAAAAGAAAAAGGACAUUUUUAAAAAUAGUGUCUGUACUUGCACCAAAUUUUGCAAAUCAACCUUAAAAUUGUGAUGUCCCUUGUCAAAUCCUUGAGGACAGUCUCACAUACUGUAUUUACAGCACUACUUAGCCUGCACGGCUGUGAUUUUAGCACUUUAAAACUUAAUUUGAUGACACAGAUACCCACGGAAACCCUUUUAUUGCCAGAGGUUUCUGAAAAUUAUCACACAAGCUGAUUUCUGGGUGAAAGGGUGCAUUGUGUAGCCAAACAAGAAAACAGCCUGUGAGAUCUCUCUAAGGAGCAGAGAGGAAUGAAAACAUAACCCUCACUCCCUCAGAACCUCAUAGAAGUAAAGCACACACCAGUGAUAAGACAACCCCCCGCAUGCACUAAAUGCUCUGCAAGUUAUCUACAGAUAUGUUUUUUAAAAGGCUGAUGCAAUGUGAUAGCUGCUGACAGGUCAAAACGUCUGUGCUUUCACUUUGCUUUCAAAAUAGAAGAAUAAAAAGUUCCAGUUGGAUGCAGAAGCAACAGGUUUGCUCCUGCAGUCCACCUACUCACUCACACUUCUACAUAAAAUUGACUUACACAAGGUUUCACACUCAGAUUUACUUGCUCCUAACACUCACUGUUACACCUAAAAAAUUUCACUGGGCUUUGAGUUUUUUUCAGUCCUUUGCAUAACACACAUUCUGUGGUUUCUGUGUUUCUACUCAUAGAAACAUCUUUCACACCAAAACUCGGGCUUUCAGGAAACAUUCAAACCUCAUCUGCUAAUCUGACAUGUGCAACACAUCGCCCAUCAACAGGAGUCGAGCUAACGAGGCUGCUGUUUUUGUGUUCCUGAUUAGAUGACAUGUUGGUGAUAAGAGUUUCUUGCUUUUCCGUCUAAACUGAGGCUUGACUUGACAAAAGAGGAAGUGCCUCUGUCACUGUGCAAUGAGUGAUGUAUGAAUGUGUGCUACUACAUACAGAGUGUUGAUGUAUGUACUGUAAGUUUACUGUACUCUAUUUAUAUCUGAGCCUAGCCCUGACUCAUGAAUCAUGUUGGUGAACAUUGAAUCAACUUUGCUCUGGCCUUAGCUGUAACACUGCACACGCCUGGGCUGCACAGACGUCUGUAAGAACUGUUCCUUUAAAUUUAAUAGCAUAAAUAUUUUGGAAGAGAGUGGGUGAGUUGUGUUUAGUCUCUUUGCUAAAAAAAAUCAGGCAAAGCUAAAAAGAUGUAUGGUGGCUAGUGCUGUGGCUGGAACCCUUUAUGUACCGUUGAUGAAGUUAGGUGCUGUUCUGAGCAUUAUUUGUGGCUAUAGAGUGGCGUUUUGGUUGAGGUUUGUUUAUGGCUCCUCAGACCGCUGUGUAUUACUAUCAUGCGGUCAUUACUAAAGUUGAUAUAAC